rnacentral:tRNA from 1 species
GCGAAAGUGGCGGAACUGGUAGACGCGCUGGAUUUAGGUUCCAGUGGGUAACCCCCGUGAGGGUUCGAGUCCCUCCUUUCGCA